rfam:Angiostrongylus cantonensis strain Taiwan genome assembly, scaffold: ACAC_scaffold0003902
CUCGGCUACGGUGAUAUGGUGCCGUCGACCGUGAUGGGUAAGAUUGUUGGUGGAAUUUGUUCGUUGUCCGGUGUACUUGUGAUCGCAUUACCAGUUCCGGUAAGUACCUUAA